rnacentral:tRNA from 2 species
GCCUCCGUAGCCAAGUCUGGUAAGGCAGCGGACUUUUAAUCCGAAGAUCGUGGGUUCGAAUCCCACCGGAGGUACAA